AUUCCUGGGUAUAAAGGGUGCGCAGGCGGCCUGAUAAGUCAGAGGUGAAAUAUGUCGGCUCAACCGGCAAACGGCCUCUGAAACUGUCAGGCUUGAGUUCGAGAGAGGUAGGUGGAAUUCCAGGUGUAGCGGUGAAAUGCGUAAAUAUCUGGAGGAACACCGGUGGCGAAGGCGGCCUACUGGCUCGAUACUGACGCUCAGGCACGAAAGCAUGGGGAGCGAACGGGAUUAGAUACCCCGGUAGUCCAUGCCGUAAACGAUGGGUACUAGGUGUUGGAGGAUUCUACCCCUUCAGUGCCGCAGCUAACGCAUUAAGUACCCCACCUGGGGAGUACGAUCGCAAGGUUGAAACUCAAAGGAAUUGACGGGGGCCCGCACAAGCGGUGGAGCAUGUGGUUUAAUUCGAUGCAACGCGAAGAACCUUACCUGGGCUUGACAUGCAGGGGACAGAUGUAGAAAUACAUCCUUCUUCGGACUCCUGUACAGGUGCUGCAUGGCUGUCGUCAGCUCGUGUCGUGAAAUGUUGGGUUAAGUCCCGCAACGAGCGCAACCCUUGUCUUUAGUUGCCAUCAGGUAAUGCUGGGGACUCUAGAGAGACUGCCGGUGACAAACCGGAGGAAGGUGGGGACGACGUCAAGUCAUCAUGGCCCUUACGCCCAGGGCUACACACGUGCUACAAUGGUCGGUACAAAGGGCAGCAAUACAGCGAUGUGGAGCGAAU
rnacentral:rRNA from 1 species